rnacentral:snoRNA from 1 species
AAUUAUAGUCGUUGAUCAUAAUGUCAUAAUCCCAGCUCAUUAUGUGACCUUUCCAAGGUCUACUACUUGAGUCUAUCAACAUUUAUCUGAUCCUAAUC